UGUGAGCUCGAUGAGUAGGGCGGGACACGUGGUAUCCUGUCUGAAUAUGGGGGGACCAUCCUCCAAGGCUAAAUACUCCUGACUGACCGAUAGUGAACCAGUACCGUGAGGGAAAGGCGAAAAGAACCCCGGCGAGGGGAGUGAAAAAGAACCUGAAACCGUGUACGUACAAGCAGUGGGAGCACAGAGCAAUCUGUGUGACUGCGUACCUUUUGUAUAAUGGGUCAGCGACUUAUAUUCUGUAGCAAGGUUAACCGAAUAGGGGAGCCGAAGGGAAACCGAGUCUUAACUGGGCGUUAAGUUGCAGGGUAUAGACCCGAAACCCGGUGAUCUAGCCAUGGGCAGGUUGAAGGUUGGGUAACACUAACUGGAGGACCGAACCGACUAAUGUUGAAAAAUUAGCGGAUGACUUGUGGCUGGGGGUGAAAGGCCAAUCAAACCGGGAGAUAGCUGGUUCUCCCCGAAAGCUAUUUAGGUAGCGCCUCGUGAAUUCAUCUCCGGGGGUAGAGCACUGUUUCGGCAAGGGGGUCAUCCCGACUUACCAACCCGAUGCAAACUGCGAAUACCGGAGAAUGUUAUCACGGGAGACACACGGCGGGUGCUAACGUCCGUCGUGAAGAGGGAAACAACCCAGACCGCCAGCUAAGGUCCCAAAGUCAUGGUUAAGUGGGAAACGAUGUGGGAAGGCCCAGACAGCCAGGAUGUUGGCUUAGAAGCAGCCAUCAUUUAAAGAAAGCGUAAUAGCUCACUGGUCGAGUCGGCCUGCGCGGAAGAUGUAACGGGGCUAAACCAUGCACCGAAGCUGCGGCAGCGACGCUUAUGCGUUGUUGGGUAGGGGAGCGUUCUGUAAGCCUGCGAAGGUGUGCUGUGAGGCAUGCUGGAGGUAUCAGAAGUGCGAAUGCUGACAUAAGUAACGAUAAAGCGGGUGAAAAGCCCGCUCGCCGGAAGACCAAGGGUUCCUGUCCAACGUUAAUCGGGGCAGGGUGAGUCGACCCCUAAGGCGAGGCCGAAAGGCGUAGUCGAUGGGAAACAGGUUAAUAUUCCUGUACUUGGUGUUACUGCGAAGGGGGGACGGAGAAGGCUAUGUUGGCCGGGCGACGGUUGUCCCGGUUUAAGCGUGUAGGCUGGUUUUCCAGGCAAAUCCGGAAAAUCAAGGCUGAGGCGUGAUGACGAGGCACUACGGUGCUGAAGCAACAAAUGCCCUGCUUCCAGGAAAAGCCUCUAAGCAUCAGGUAACAUCAAAUCGUACCCCAAACCGACACAGGUGGUCAGGUAGAGAAUACCAAGGCGCUUGAGAGAACUCGGGUGAAGGAACUAGGCAAAAUGGUGCCGUAACUUCGGGAGAAGGCACGCUGAUAUGUAGGUGAAGUCCCUCGCGGAUGGAGCUGAAAUCAGUCGAAGAUACCAGCUGGCUGCAACUGUUUAUUAAAAACACAGCACUGUGCAAACACGAAAGUGGACGUAUACGGUGUGACGCCUGCCCGGUGCCGGAAGGUUAAUUGAUGGGGUCAGCGCAAGCGAAGCUCUUGAUCGAAGCCCCGGUAAACGGCGGCCGUAACUAUAACGGUCCUAAGGUAGCGAAAUUCCUUGUCGGGUAAGUUCCGACCUGCACGAAUGGCGUAAUGAUGGCCAGGCUGUCUCCACCCGAGACUCAGUGAAAUUGAACUCGCUGUGAAGAUGCAGUGUACCCGCGGCAAGACGGAAAGACCCCGUGAACCUUUACUAUAGCUUGACACUGAACAUUGAGCCUUGAUGUGUAGGAUAGGUGGGAGGCUUUGAAGUGUGGACGCCAGUCUGCAUGGAGCCGACCUUGAAAUACCACCCUUUAAUGUUUGAUGUUCUAACGUUGACCCGUAAUCCGGGUUGCGGACAGUGUCUGGUGGGUAGUUUGACUGGGGCGGUCUCCUCCUAAAGAGUAACGGAGGAGCACGAAGGUUGGCUAAUCCUGGUCGGACAUCAGGAGGUUAGUGCAAUGGCAUAAGCCAGCUUGACUGCGAGCGUGACGGCGCGAGCAGGUGCGAAAGCAGGUCAUAGUGAUCCGGUGGUUCUGAAUGGAAGGGCCAUCGCUCAACGGAUAAAAGGUACUCCGGGGAUAACAGGCUGAUACCGCCCAAGAGUUCAUAUCGACGGCGGUGUUUGGCACCUCGAUGUCGGCUCAUCACAUCCUGGGGCUGAAGUAGGUCCCAAGGGUAUGGCUGUUCGCCAUUUAAAGUGGUACGCGAGCUGGGUUUAGAACGUCGUGAGACAGUUCGGUCCCUAUCUGCCGUGGGCGCUGGAGAACUGAGGGGGGCUGCUCCUAGUACGAGAGGACCGGAGUGGACGCAUCACUGGUGUUCGGGUUGUCAUGCCAAUGGCACUGCCCGGUAGCUAAAUGCGGAAGAGAUAAGUGCUGAAAGCAUCUAAGCACGAAACUUGCCCCGAGAUGAGUUCUCCCUGACUCCUUGAGAGUCCUGAAGGAACGUUGAAGACGACGACGUUGAUAGGCCGGGUGUGUAAGCGCAGCGAUGCGUUGAGCUAACCGGUACUAAUGAACCGUGAGGCUUAACC
rnacentral:rRNA from 1 species